AGAGUUUGAUCCUGGCUCAGGAUGAACGCUAGCGGUAGGCUUAACACAUGCAAGUCGAGGGGCAGCAAUUUGUAGCAAUACGAAGUUGGCGGCCGGCGCACGGGUGAGUAACGCGUAUGCAACCUACCCGCAACAGAAGGAUAAUCCGGCGAAAGUCGGUCUAAUACUUCAUAAUACAGGGACACCGCAUGGUGAUAUUUGUUAAAGAUUAAUUGGUUGCGGAUGGGCAUGCGUGCCAUUAGGUAGUUGGUGAGGUAACGGCUCACCAAGCCGACGAUGGUUAGGGGUUCUGAGAGGAAAAUCCCCCACACUGGUACUGAGACACGGACCAGACUCCUACGGGAGGCAGCAGUGAGGAAUAUUGGUCAAUGGGCGAGAGCCUGAACCAGCCAAGUCGCGUGAAGGAAGACGGCCCUAUGGGUUGUAAACUUCUUUUGCGGGGGAAUAAAGAUAUCCACGUGUGGAUAGUUGUAUGUACCCUGCGAAUAAGCAUCGGCUAACUCCGUGCCAGCAGCCGCGGU
rnacentral:rRNA from 2 species